UUCCAAUGGCUUUGCUCCUCUGGGCUGCUUGUUCUUUCCAAAAUGUUUGCUAUGAAAGGGCAGUUCUAAGAUUUCUCUAAAACCCUGCUCAGCAUCUCUGGUAAUGGCCUGGGGUUGGAUAUUUGUUUAAUGAUAAAUAGAAGUUUCUAUCCCUGCCACUGAGUUUUUCAGAGAGUAGAAUAACCAAGUCAAUGUUUAACCGCAUUCUUUAGUUCUGGAAUGGCAAAGUAGAAGUUAAAGGGAAGUCUCCAUGGAAACCAGCCUCCCAGGAAGUGGCCGGAGAAGUUAGUGUCUGGUGUCGGGGGACAGACUGGAAAGAUGUCAUGAAGGAAACACCUGCUUUGGGAAAUGGGUCUGUGUCUCUCCAAGGCUCACCCUCAGGCGAUUGGUGUCGCACCUAUCCAAAGCGAAGAAACAAAGCCUCCCUUAGCCGGCCCUGCGUUCUUUGCAUUGAACCACGACCUGGAAGGCAAGAGCUCAUACUCGUUCAUGAGACUGCCGGACCAAAACGGAACUCUGGAAGGACAGCUACCGCCUCUUCGAGAACCGCGGUGUAGAAGAUACCCUGCAGUAUCCAGAGCCAUGUAUCUUGACAUCCCACUGAAGCAUGAAGAAACAAGUAUUAUCAAAAGGCAUCCACCCCGAAGAAUUCAAAAGCUUGAACCCAUUGACCUGCCACAACUAAUUACCUCUGAGAGGCUUCUGAGCCAGCAAGAAGCAAGAACAAGGCACAAAGCGAAGCAGGAACUUGAGAAGAAGAUUCAGCUUCCCAGGCACACUCCUCAGAAAAGACAGUAUUUACAUAAGAUGCAGAUGCUGGAGAUGAACCAUAAAAGACAACAGGCCCAGAUGGAGUUGAGGAUGAGUCUUAAUAGUAAAUCCAUACUUGAUAUGCAAAAGCUGAAGGACCAUAAUGGCAACAAAAUCACCCAAAACACACUGAGGAGCGAUGGCUGUGACGUGCUUACCAUAAUCCCUGAUGAAACCAUAAACAGAAACCCAGCUAAACCUGUAAUUCCAGGUCUUGAUCACCAUGAAUUCCUUGAACUGCAUAGUGAGUUUUGGGUUCCAGCCUGGACUCCACAUCUCCAAAACAGACCAAGCAGCUGGUACUGUGAUCUGUUAUUGACACACAUUCUCUCCUUUAAUUCUUACACAACUAGAAGGUGAGAGUUGACAUUUACCCAUAAUGUAACACAGCCAGAAUUCAAGGUCACAUCUUCAUGACCUGCAUGACCUGCAUGACCUGCCUGCUACCACAACCUCCGUCGGAUAUUGAGAAUUCACAGCUUUGUCUAGGACAGCCCUGGAAAGUAUGCAGGCCUAAGCUGUGAGCCCUUACCCAUCAUUGAAGAGGCUGCACUCUCGAGUUCUAGACAAAAGCUGAAGAGUGCACAGAUGCUGGCCUUCAUAUGCCCCUAUCAAGGACCUCGGUGGGUGGGAACAGAAAAAGGAACCCCAGCUGGAGCCCUCUGCUAGACAUGCAGGGAGGGACAGCUGUCUCAACAUAUGGAGACUGGGUCAGCAGCAGAAUCCCCUGGGGAGUGGGGACUUUCCCAGGUCCCAUCCUCAUCCUGAAUAAGCAUCUCCAGAUAGUUCUCCAAGGGAUUCUGGAGAUCAGCUGACCUCAGAUGGACUUGCUCUCAGAGAGUACAAUCAAUUCUUAAAGUCUAUGGGAUUUUUUUUUCUUUGUGAUAACAGGAUGUGUAUGCUAAUACACCUAACAAAAUGUAUCUAGAAAAUGUAACUUGCUAGCAUGAGGUAAAAAUUCUAACUGUUCUCAUUAAAAUGGGAUAAGAAUUAAUUAGGCUCUUGUGGAAGGAGAUGUCUACAGGCAACUUCACCUGCUGCUGAAGUUUCCAGAAAGAGAAAUCUAUUACUUAUUUUUAUGGUUGCUAUGACAAAAUUGCUGACAAGAACUCUGUAGAAGCUUUGGUUCACAGUUCCGGGAUAUAGUCCAUUACAUCAGGGAAGACAUGACAGCAGGAAUGAGAGGCUGGCCACAGUGCAUCUGCAGCCAGGAAGCAGGAAGUCCACAGGAUGAAGAAUUCUUGGAAUACCACACAGAGAAUGACUAUGGUGUCCAGAAAAUUGGCAAGGUGGAGACAUGGCUCCGUGAACAAGAAGCCCGGGAGCAGCUUUUCUGGGGCAGCUCCAGCUCU